UCCUCCGCCUGCUGCGGGCAGAUCGCGUGGAUGUGGACGUCGAGCCCGCCCGCGGUGACGAUCUUGCCCUCGCCGGCGAUGACCUCGGUGCCGGGUCCGACGAUGAUCGUGACGCCGGGCUGGAUGUCCGGGUUGCCAGCCUUGCCAAUCGCCGCCACCCGGCCGUCCUUGAUGCCGAUGUCGGCCUUGACGAUACCCCAGUGGUCGAUGAUCAGCGCGUUGGUGAUGACGGUGUCAACCGCUCCGCCCUGCCGCGUCACCUGCGACUGGCCCAUGCCGUCGCGGA
rnacentral:sRNA from 1 species